UACAGAGGUCUCAAGCGUUGUUCGGAUUCAUUGGGCGUAAAGGGUGCGUAGGCGGCGCGGUAAGUCGGGUGUGAAAUCUCGGGGCUUAACUCCGAAACUGCAUUCGAUACUGCCGUGCUUGAGGACUGGAGAGGAGACUGGAAUUUACGGUGUAGCGGUGAAAAUGCGUAGAUAUCGUAAGGAAGACCAGUGGCGAAGGCGGGUCUCUGGACAGUUCCUGACGCU
rnacentral:rRNA from 1 species